GGUUGAUCCUGCCAGUAGUCAUAUGCUUGUCUUAAAGACUAAGCCAUGCAUGUCUAAGUAUAAGUAUUAUACAGCGAAACUGCGAAUGGCUCAUUAAAACAGUUAUAGUUUAUUCGAUUAUUUUCUCCUACAUGGAUAACCGUAGUAAUUCUAGAGCUAAUACAUGCUGUCAAACCUGACUUUUCGGAAGGGUUGUAUUUAUUAGAUAUAAAACCAAUACUCCUGUCAAAGGGAGCUUUGUGAUGAUUCAUAAUAACUGAGCGGAUCGCGGCCACGCCGCGACGAAUCGUUCA
rnacentral:rRNA from 1 species